UAAUCUCUAGUCCAAUGGCUAAAGUUUAGGUUGUUAGUUGUGUAGCUUCCUCAUGAUAAGUGGCAGAAUGAAUUUUAUCUGUUAUAAUUAUU